GCACGCUUUCCAUUAAACAAUGGCGAGUACAAGGCAAUUUAAUAUGUAAAGUAAAUUUUCUUUGUUUUUGUGGCGAUUUCGGCUAGACAACACUAACAUGGCGUCGAAUCAAGAUUCCGCAAGUGUUCAAAAUAAACUUCAGUGCUCAGCGACUUUAAAGCCAAAAAAAGAUCAAGUUACCACUGUUGUGUGCCUCUAUGUAAUGGAGAUUCCAGAUAUCACCAA